rnacentral:tRNA from 1 species
ACUUAAUUAGUUUAUUAAAAAAUGUUAAAUUGUGGAUUUAAAGAUGUUUUUCAUUAAGUA